AAGACUAUACUUUCAGGGAUCAUUUCUAUAGUUUGUGACUUGAGAAAUGUGUUUCUAAAGUGUUUGGUCUCGCUGAUCACGAUGAAGAGUUGUUGAUACUCCUUCCUGAACAUGAAGCAGACAGAGAGCCCUGGUUUACUCCUCAUGCUCUCUGUGACUGAUGACUGUUCACUGUUUCCUCUGGAGACUUUGAGGGAGGGAGUAUGAUCUGAGUGUUU
ensembl:snoRNA